GUUUUUCACAAUUUUUAUCUGAUACCUGGU
rnacentral:piRNA from 1 species